rnacentral:rRNA from 1 species
CCUAUGGGGGGCAGCAGGCGCGAAAACUUUACAAUGCGGGAAACCGUGAUAAGGGGACACCGAGUGCCAGCAUCAUAUGCUGGCUGUCCAGGUGUGUAAAAUACACCUGUUAGCAAGGGCCGGGCAAGACCGGUGCCAGCCGCCGCGGUAACACCGGCGGCCCGAGUGGUGAUCGUGAUUAUUGGGUCUAAAGGGUCCGUAGCCGGUUUGGUCAGUCCUCCGGGAAAUCUGAUAGCUCAACUAUUAGGCUUUCGGGGGAUACUGCCAGACUUGGAACCGGGAGAGGUAAGAGGUACUACAGGGGUAGGAGUGAAAUCUUGUAAUCCCUGUGGGACCACCUGUGGCGAAGGCGUCUUACCAGAACGGGUUCGACGGUGAGGGACGAAAGCUGGGGGCACGAACCGGAUUAGAUACCCCAGUAGUCC